rnacentral:lncRNA from 1 species
GAAAGGCCAGCUCAAUGAUUGAGUCACUCACUCUUAGUUGGUGAGCCUGUCUGGAGGAGGAGAUUUUUUUCCCUGGAUCCUGCAUCAGCUUGCUGGGCAACCCAGAAUGUGGAAAAUAUUUCUGGAGGACCUGGCAUCAGGAAAAGUUGGGGGUUAAUUCUGUCCUUUAAUACUUAUUUGUUAUAUGACUAUAAAGUUGUUAAUUGA